CGCUGCGCCGGCGCGUUCGCCUGCACGCCUCCGAGGAGGUUGUCGCGGCGAAACCCGUCGUCGGCGAGCCGCCGAUCUCUCUUCUCGUCUGCGCCCGCUCUCGUUCGAACGCGCGAGACGUGAUCGAACGCGGAAGAACGAGUCGGAAACGCCGUCGGUUUUACGCGUGCGCCAGCGGUCGGUAGCGGAGGCGGAAGCCUUGGACGCGCUCGGUCGUUGCCUCGAAGGAUAGGCGAGCACCCCCCGUGUCUUCUGCUUCUCUUCGUUUCGCUCGCACCCGAUUCGAACGCAAAGCGUCCCUCGCGGCCGAACCGAGCGGGCCGCCAAAAGAGUCGCGGCUCACAAAAAGCCCCCGUCCGUCGGGCGAAAGGGAAUCCGGUUCCUAUUCCGGAACCCGGUUGCGGAACCGCACUCACGAUCCUCGUAUUGACGCGGUAACGCGAAUGACCCCAGAGAAGCCGUCUGGAGCCCCGGGAAGAGUUUUCUUUUCUGCCUGAGCGUUCAGGUUCCAUGGAAUCCUCUCGCAGGGAGAUAUGGAAUAGAACGCGAAGAGCACCGCAGUUGCUGCGGUGUCCGGGGAGUCCCGUCGGUCCUUGAAAAUCUGGGUGAGGGUCACGUGGAGGCGCCGCACCGGCUCGUACCCAUAUCCGCAGCAGGUCUCCGAGGUCCAGAGCCUCUAGUCGAUAGACUAA
rnacentral:rRNA from 1 species